UACAGAGGUGGCAAGCGUUGUUCGGAAUUACUGGGCGUAAAGGGCGCGUAGGCGGUCAGGUCAGUCCCGUGUGAAAUCCCUCGGCUCAACUGAGGAACUGCACGGGAAACUGCCUGGCUUGAGUUCGGGAGAGGGAAGCGGAAUUCCGGGUGUAGCGGUGAAAUGCGUAGAUAUCCGGAGGAACACCGGUGGCGAAGGCGGCUUCCUGGACCGGUACUGACGCUGAUGCGCGAAAGCGUGGGGAGCAAACGGG
rnacentral:rRNA from 1 species